rnacentral:lncRNA from 1 species
UCCUAAGGUCCACCACCCAGCUUCAAAGGGAUCAUAAGACUAUUCAUACCUGAAACUUACGUGUGCAGCCGCAAGCUAUUAUGGGCUCUAGCAUAGUUGAGUAAGUUGUGUGAAGCUCUCGAAGUGGUAGACUAGCAGAUGUAGAGGGUAUAGGUGGUACGGUCUACCCAGAAGUAGAGAGUUAAUGCUUCAGAAAGACUGUGUCUCGAAUUCUCCAACCAUGGAUGU